AUACGAGGGGUGCAAGCGUUGUUCGGAAUUACUGGGCGUAAAGGGAGCGUAGGCGGAGAUUCAAGCGGAUUGUACAAUCCCGGGGCCCAACCCCGGCUCUGCAGUCCGAACUGGAUCUCUUGGAUAGUUCAGGGGCAGGCGGAAUUCCUGGUGUAGCGGUGGAAUGCGUCGAGAUCAGGAAGAACACCGAUGGCGAAGGCAGCCUGCUGGGGACUUAUCGACGCUGAGGCUCGAAAGUGCGGGUAGCAAACAGGAUUAGAUACCCUGGUAGUCCGCACCGUAAACGAUGCAUACUGGGUGUCCGGGGGUUCCCCCGGGUACCGUAGCCAACGCGUUAAGUAUGCCGCCUGGGGAGUACGUACGCAAGUAUGAAACUCAAAUGAAUUGACGGG
rnacentral:rRNA from 1 species